AUACGAAGGGGGCUAGCGUUGUUCGGAUUUACUGGGCGUAAAGCGCACGUAGGCGGAUUGACAAGUUAGGGGUGAAAUCCCGAGGCUCAACCUCGGAACUGCCUCUAAAACUGUCAAUCUCGAGACCGGAAGAGGUGAGUGGAACUCCUAGUGUAGAGGUGGGAUUCGUAGAUAUUAGGAAGAACACCAGUGGCGAAGGCGGCUCACUGGUCCGGUACUGACGCUGAGGUGCGAAAGCGUGGGGAGCAAACAGGAUUAGAAACCCUUGUAGUCC
rnacentral:rRNA from 1 species